rnacentral:rRNA from 1 species
AUGAAAAAAAGUGGAUGGAAAGAAAAAUUGUUAUUUAUUGGAGGAAAGAAAAUAUUUCUCAAAUCUUUUGUACAAGCUAUCCCAACUUAUGCCAUGUCCGUCUUCAAAAUUCCUAAAAAAAAUUGUAAAGGAAUCAUUGACGUGAUGUCGUAGUUUUGGUGGGGUGACAAGGACAACAAGAAGGGGAUGCAUUGGAUGGCGUGGUGGAAGAUGUGUGUCCCAAAAAAUUAUGAAGGUAUGGGUUUCAGAGAUAUACAUUGUUCCAAUCUGGCUUUGUUAGCUAAACAAGCAUGGUGA